CAGUCGCCGCGGGAAUACAGAGGGUGCAAGCGUUAAUCGGAUUUACUGGGCGUAAAGGGCGCGUAGGUGGUUAUUUAAGUGAGAUGUGAAAGCCCCGGGCUUAACCUAGGAACUGCAUCUUAUACUGGGUAACUGGAGUGCAGUAGAGGGUAGUGGAAUUUCCGGUGUAGCGGUGAAAUGCGUAGAUAUCGGAAGGAACACCAGUGGCGAAGGCGGCUACCUGGACUGAGACUGACACUGAGGCGCGAGGGCGUGGGGAGCAAACAGGAUUAGAUACCCGAGUAGUCCCUGUCUCUUAUAU
rnacentral:rRNA from 1 species